rnacentral:rRNA from 1 species
UACGUAGGGUGCGAGCGUUGUCCGGAAUUACUGGGCAUAAAGAGCUCGUAGGUGGUUUGUCGCGUUGUCCGUGAAAACUCACAGCUUAACUGUGGGCGUGCGGGCGAUACGGGCAGACUGGAGUACUGCAGGGGAGACUGGAAUUCCUGGUGUAGCGGUGGAAUGCGCAGAUAUCAGGAGGAACACCGGUGGCGAAGGCGGGUCUCUGGGCAGUAACUGACGCUGAGGAGCGAAAGCGUGGGGAGCGAACAGG